UACAGAGGUCUCAAGCGUUGUUCGGAUUCAUUGGGCGUAAAGGGUGCGUAGGUGGCGCCGUAAGUCAGGUGUGAAAUUUCGGAGCUUAACUCCGAAACUGCAUUCGAUACUGCGGUGCUUGAGGACUGGAGAGGAGACUGGAAUUCAUGGUGUAGCAGUGAAAUGCGCAGAUAUCAGGAGGAACACCGGUGGCGAAGGCGGGUCUCUGGGCCGAUACUGACGCUGAGGAGCGAAAGCGUGGGGAGCGAACAGG
rnacentral:rRNA from 1 species